AGCGAACGCUGGCGGCAGGCCUAACACAUGCAAGUCGAGCGCCGUAGCAAUACGGAGCGGCAGACGGGAGAGUAACACGUGGGAACGUACCCUUUGGUUCGGAACAACCCAGGGAAACUUGGGCUAGUACUGAAUAAGCCCUCACGGGGAAAGAUUUAUCGCCGAAGGAUCGGCCCGCGUCUGAUUAGCUAGUUGGUGGGGUAAUGGCCCACCAAGGCGACGAUCAGUAGCUGGUCUGAGAGGAUGAUCAGCCUCACUGGGACUGAGACACGGCCCAGACGCCUACGGGAGGCAGCAGUGGGGAAUAUUGGACAAUGGGCGCAAGCCUGAUCCAGCCAUGCCGCGUGGGUGAUGAAGGCCCUAGGGUUGUAAAGCCCUUUCGGCGGGGAAGAUAAUGACGGUACCCGCAGAAGAAGCCCCGGCUAACUUCGUGCCAGCCGCCGCAGUAA
rnacentral:rRNA from 1 species